ACUGGUAUUCAGAGAUUUGUUCCCUCUUCUGCUUUCCCAGGAUCUGUUAGACAUUUCAUCACAGAUUCAUAGACCAUCCUAGGUCCAAAACUUUGGGGUGUGACCUCUUGGUCUCCUGCAGAAAUUAACACCAAA